CUUUUUUACUCAGCCAGUGAAGCAGUGUAAUAAUCUCACGUCUUGGUUUUACCAGCUCAGAGCGAUCUGAUCUGUAUUUCCUCGUUUCCUCUGCUUGUUAUCUUACGGGCUUAUUCAGUCAAGGAGGAAGCAAGGACAGUGAAGGGCAGCUGUGGGGAAUUUCCCUGAACUUCAGGAGAACCGCCCUGGAGAACGAGCGUCGAGAAACGAACGGUGAUGGCUGCAGUGGUUCUAACAAAAGUAAGAGUUUAAUCAUUGACGGUCCUGGGGGCUGAGGUCCUGGGAUCCGUAUCAGAUGUGGCGUCUGGAGGCCUGGGGUCAUUCACUGGGCCUGUCACUGGGGCCAACGCCAGUGCCCAGAGCAGCGGCCGGCACACAGGAGGUGCUCAGUGGAAGAGGAGCCAGAGGUGGCAGUGCGCCUUGGACGGGAGACCCUUGGGACUCACGGGAGCCCCCGGCGUGGAGGGAGAGGACAAUUUUCUAUUUUCUACCCAGAAAAGAAUGAGACAUCUAAGACGGACCUCAGUCGGGGGCUGCAGCCUGGCGUGGGGAGGUGAGAAACGGUCUGCAGGACGGCGACCUCCGGCACCGGUGCACGGGUCUGAGCUCCGCCGGGGACAGCGUUUACAGUCCUCUCUCUCCAGAAAGGAUAAGCUGCAAAUACACUUAAUAAUCAACCACCACAGAGCCCCUGACAGAUGGGCCUCGAAGCAGAUGGCUCCAUUGAAAGGCAGCAACUGA
rnacentral:lncRNA from 1 species